rnacentral:lncRNA from 1 species
UCUAGGAUGACAAGUCAGAACAGGCAAAAGCAACCCUCAUCCAAUUUUUAAAAAAGUUAUCACACCCCUUUAUAGCUGAGGAAUCUACAGUAAACCAUAAAAACAAGAAAGGUGAGAUACUCUACAGGACAACUGGCCUAGAUCCUUGAACAAGUAAUUUUUACGAAAAAACGUUGAGUGCACGAUUAAACAAAUACACAGGUGACAUCACAACCAGAUUUGUGGUGCUGAGCUGGUAACUGGUUUCAUCCAACCAGGUACAAAUGUUAUUUUGGGGACAAUUAUGUAAAUAUGACCAAGGCAUUAAGCGAAAUGGAAUCUUUGAUCAAAAAAGCAAGUGUCAAAAUAAUCUGUAGAAUAUUAUCUUAAGUAAAAAACAUACGUAUUUGCAUAAAUGUGCAGAGAAAAAUACCUGAAAGGAGACAUCAAAUUGCUGAUGGUGAUAAUUUCUGCAUGAUGAGAAUAGAUAUUUUCUCAUUUUUGCUUGUCUGAUUUUCCAAGUUUAAAAAAUAAUUCACAUGUACAGCUUCUACAAAGGGUAUCAAAAAUCAUCCAUGAGGGCUUCCUGCUCCACAGGUUUUCUUAUCAAAAGGCCAACCAAAUCCUUCCUUUGAGACUCAUUUGUUGGGAUCUUUCAUUUGAUCACCCUCCUCUUUGACGGCUUCUUCAUGGGGCCUCUCUGCUCCCUGUGGUCUGGUCUGUUGUCUGCAGUUCCCAUGAGAGUUGCUGCUCCUGCACAGUUCUUCCGCACGCACGGUUCCCUGCCACCCCACAGGCACUCACUCUUCUCUCUGGCCUCUGUACUUCUCCUCUCCUUUCUUUCCAAGUUCAGCUAAAACUCCAUCCCAAAGCUCUCUUGUCAUGGACACCCCUGUCCUGCACUUGGCCCACAGGAAAUGGAGGGACCUUCCUUUGUUCACACUAUUUGAGGCACCUCAUUGCCCGCUGGGUGAGUAUCCAAUACCCUUCCUACAAGUUUCCCUCUCCAGGUUCUCUCCGGCUGUCUCUCUCCACACACCGAUGUCUGACUGUUUCCCUGGGCACACCCUACCUCAGCUAAUCCCCUACCUGUCAACUUCCUGGGGAACGUGCAUCCUGUAAGCCUCUGCUCCAACUAUAUUCCCACUCUACGGCUCUCCUCAGCUUUCCGGGAACAAAUCAUUGCUCUUAGCUGUGCUCCCAAGGUCUUUGGACACAAUUCUCUCUCUCUCUCUCUCCCUCUCUCUCUCGCUCUCUCUCUCUCUCGCUCUCUCUCUUUCUCUCAGCCAUGGUCACAUAAAUGGACAGCCAUUUAUGCCACAUCCACACCCCUCCCUUGACUACAGACUGCUGAAGACCUGGGCUAUGUUGCAGUCACCUUGGUAUUCCUGGUUUCCAGCCCAGGAAAUUAGGAAAUUACCUUUGAAUUAUUAGUUUGCACCCUCUGUUGGCUACAUCUUUCAUGAGAGAAGAUUUGCAAGGGGUAAAAUUAAAAACGUAUAUCAAUGGGUUCAGCACAAACACAGGCCAGUGAGUUUCCUGGCACCGUCUUGCUCUGCUCCCUGCUAUGCCUGUGGAUUUCGGAGUGCUGGGAAGUGUGCAGGAGGUGUUGGGGGCUGGAGAGAUGGUGGAGGAACACUACAGGCUGGGGAGAUGGUGGAGGAGGUGUUGGGGGCUGGGGAGAUGGUGGAGGAGGUGUUGGGGGCUGGGGAGAUGGUGGAGGAACACUACAGGCUGGGGAGAUGGUGGAGGAGGUGUUGGGGGCUGGGGAGAUGGUGGAGGAGGUGUUGAGGGCUGGAGAGAUGGUGGAGGAGGUGUCGGGGGCUGGGGAGAUGGUGGAGGAACAUCACUACAGGCUGGGUAAUGCUCGGGGUAGUGGCUCUUUAACAACCAGGAUGGAAGUCUUUUUUGUAUUUUAGCGUCUGGCACGCCCUGGUACUGUGCUAAGAUCGUAGCCCUGGGGAGCACCUGGCAGGAGGGGUGGCGUUCACAUCCUGGCCAGCUAGGCUGCAGACACAAUACCUG